rnacentral:rRNA from 1 species
CUACGGGGGGCAGCAGUGAGGAAUAUUGCGCAAUGGGGGAAACCCUGACGCAGCGACGCCGCGUGGAUGAUGAAGGCCUUCGGGCCGUAAAAUCCUGUCAGAAGGAAAGAAGUGUAUGGUAGCUAAUAUCUGCCAUACUUGACGGUACCUUCAAAGGAAGCACCGGCUAACUCCGUGCCAGCAGCCGCGGUAAUACGGAGGGUGCAAGCGUUGUUCGGAAUUACUGGGCGUAAAGCGCGCGUAGGCGGUUUUAUAAGUCAGAUGUGAAAGUCCACGGCUCAACCAUGGAAGUGCAUUUGAAACUGUAAGACUUGAGUAUUGGAGGGGGUAGUGGAAUUCCCGGUGUAGAGGUGAAAUUCGUAGAUAUCGGGAGGAAUACCGGUGGCGAAGGCGACUAUCUGGCCAAAUACUGACGCUGAGGUGCGAAAGCGUGGGGAGCAAACAGGAUUAGAUACCCGGGUAGUC